CGGUCCUAAGGUAGCGAAAUUCCUUGUCGGGUAAGUUCCGACCUGCACGAAUGGUGUAACGACUUGGGCGCUGUCUCAACGAGGAGCUCGGCGAAACUGUAGCUCCGGUGAAGAUGCCGGAUACCCGCGACAGGACGGAAAGACCCCGUGAACCUUUACUGCAGCUUGAUAUUGGGUCUCGCCAAUGCAUGUGUAGGAUAGGUGGGAGGCUAUGAACGGAGGGCGCCAGCCUUUCGGGAGCCAACCUUGAAAUACCACCCUUGUGUUGUUGGGGUUCUAACUUCAUUCCGUGAAUCCGGAUGGAAGACAGUGUCAGGUGGGCAGUUUGACUGGGGCGGUCGCCUCCUAAAACGUAACGGAGGCGCCCAAAGGUUCCCUCAGCACGGUUGGCAAUCGUGCGUAGAGUGUAAAGGCAUAAGGGAGCCUGACUGCGAGACAUACAAGUCGAGCAGACACGAAAGUGGGGCUUAGUGAUCCGACGAUUCCUUGUGGAAGGGUCGAAGCUCAACGGAUAAAAGGUACUCCGGGGAUAACAGGCUUAUCUCCCCCGAUAGUCCACAUAAACGGGGAGGUUUGGCACCUCGAUGUCGGCUCAUCGCAUCCUGGGGCCGGAGAAGGUCCCAAGGGUUCGGCUGUUCGCCGAUUAAAGCGGUACGCGAGCUGGGUUUAGAACGUCGUGAGACAGUUCGGUCCCUAUCCGUCGCGGGCGUAGGACAUUUGAGAGGAUCUGUUCCUAGUAUGAGAAGACCGGAAUGGACGAACCGCUGGUUCACCAGUUGUGGCGCCAGCCGCAUCGCUGGGUAGCUAUGUUCGGACGGGAUAACCGCUGAAAGCAUCUAAGCGGGAAGCCCACCUCAAGACGAGAUGUCCCAAGCGUAAGCUUCUGAAGGCCCCUUGAAGAUUACAAGGUCGAUAGGCCAGAGGUGUAAGUGGCGAGGUAACGAGCCAUUCAGCCGACUGGUACUAAUAGCCGUGCGGCUUGACCAG
rnacentral:rRNA from 1 species